rnacentral:rRNA from 1 species
ACCUCGGAUCAGGUAGGGAUACCCGCUGAACUUAAGCAUAUCAAUAAGCGGAGGAAAAGAAACCAACAGGGAUUGCCCUAGUAACGGCGAGUGAAGCGGCAAUAGCUCAAAUUUGAAAUCUGGCGCUUUCAGCGUCCGAGUUGUAAUUUGCAGAGGGCGCUUUGGCGUUGGCAGCGGUCCAAGUUCCUUGGAACAGGUCGUCACAGAGGGUGAGAAUCCCGUACGUGGCCGCAUGUCUUCGCCGUGUAAAGCCCCUUCGACGAGUCGAGUUGUUUGGGAAUGCAGCUCUAAAUGGGAGGUAAAUUUCUUCUAAAGCUAAAUACUGGCCAGAGACCGAUAGCGCACAAGUAGAGUGAUCGAAAGAUGAAAAGCACUUUGGAAAGAGAGUCAAACAGCACGUGAAAUUGUUGAAAGGGAAGCGCUUGCAGCCAGACUUGCCUGCCGUUGCUCAUCCGGUCUUUUGCCCGGUGCAUUCUUCGGUAGGCAGGCCAGCAUCAGUUUGGGCGGUGGGAUAAAGGUCUCUGUCACGUACCUCCUUUCGGGGAGGCCUUAUAGGGGAGACGUCAUGCCACCAGCCUGGACUGAG